GCCAGGUGUGGUGAUGCACACCUAUAAUCCCAGCUACUCAGGAGGCUGAGGGAGGAGGAUCACAAGUUCAAGAUUAGCCUCAGAAACUCAGUGAGACCCUAUCUCAC
rnacentral:sRNA from 1 species